UACGUAGGGUGCAAGCGUUAAUCGGAAUUACUGGGCGUAAAGCGUGCGCAGGCGGCUUUGCAAGACAGAUGUGAAAUCCCCGGGCUCAACCUGGGAACUGCAUUUGUGACUGCAAGGCUGGAGUACGGCAGAGGGGGAUGGAAUUCCGCGUGUAGCAGUGAAAUGCGUAGAUAUCGGGAGGAACACCAGUGGCGAAGGCGGUUGCCUGGGGCUUUGCUGACGCUGAUGCGCGAAAGCGUGGGGAGCGAUCCGG
rnacentral:rRNA from 1 species